rnacentral:rRNA from 1 species
CCUACGGGUGGCAGCAGUGGGGAAUAUUGCACAAUGGGCGAAAGCCUGAUGCAGCGACGCCGCGUGAUUGAAGAGGUAUUUCGUUUUGUAAAGCUCUUUCAUCGGGGCAGAACUUGACGGUACCUACAGAAGAAGCCCCGGCUAACUACGUGCCAGCAGCCGCGGUAAUACGUAGGGGGCACGCGUUAUCCGGAUUUACUGGGGGUAAAGUGAGCGUAGGCGGCAGUUCAAGUCUGGUGUGAAAGGCGGAGGCUCAACCUCCGGACUGCUCUGGAAACUGUCCGGCUGGAGUGCAGGAGAGGUAAGUGGAAUUCCUGGUGUAGCGGUGAAAUGCGUAGAUAUUAGGAGGAACACCAGUGGCGAAGGCGGGUUACUGGACUGUAACUGACGCUGAGGAUCGAAAGCGAGGGGAGCAAACAGGAUUAGAUACCCCAGUAGUC